CUCACACUCCCGUCACACACUCUCCCCGUCCUUUAUUAUCCGUACUGCUUCCGGAGUGUCACCGAGUCCAUUACGUUCUCCCGUUUCCAGCACAGUGCCGCGAUUCUCCUACGCGCCCGUUUACUUUCUUUUACGGACUGCCUCUCGUCUUCACAGGACAUAGUGGGCCGCGCCUUCUGAGCGCACCACCGGAUUAUCCCUGCGUUGCUCCGCAGGUAUUUGUUUUGGCUUCGCCUUUGAGUUUGUAUUAAACUGUUUUCACUGCUACUUCUGCUUCCGCAUAACAGUAGCAGGCAAAGCUCAAAGUUGUAAACACUCAUCAAAUUGCACUUUAUGGUGAUUUGGAAGAGUGGUGAAAGAGAUUUAAUGUGCUUCCAUUUUUUUUGACUGAAUCGCUUUAUGACUUUCUUUACUAUAUGUAGUAGGGUCAGUAGGGGGUGCCGUUGAGCUAUUUUACCUCAUUGCCUUACCCGCAGCUGGGUGGAUUUGCCUUUAUAUACGCCACUUCCGGCGGAUACGGCGCGCUGUUUAAUUGUUUGGCGUGCAUGUGGUUGCUCGUCGCUGGAAGGACAAAGUGUUGUUAAUUUUAUAUAUGUGGCGUGCAUGCUGCUGUUACCUAUACUGGUCGAGAGUGGUGAACACUGAGAUUUGUGCAGCACGCUGCAUAUAUUGUUGACGGUUAAUACUGACGGUGAACGCUGAAAAGACCCAUAGGCUGCAGUGUUUUGUGCUAAACGCGAGGCUGCAGCAACUUUCCGGUGGGUCUGGUAUGCAGUACAAGAAACUGUAAAAUGGUAUGUUUAAUUGAUUUGUGUAAUAUGGAGAUUUUAAUGAUGAUAAUAAUAAAUUUGUUUUUAGAUGGGUUUAAGAUGUAUUGUGAAGCAUUGUUUUAGCUAGAGAUUGCAUAAUAUGUUUAUUUGGAAUUAUGUAAUGGUGCUGUGUAACAUGGGUUGGUGUUGUAUUUGAGAAUGUAAUUUUAUGUUGUCGUCUUUUUUUUUUUUUUUUUUUAUAGAGUGCUAUGUGCUCGUGGUCCUGUUGAUCACUGUUUUCCCUACCUUUAUUUUUUUGUAUAGUUUGUUUAUUGGCUUGGAAGCUGAUUGUUAUUUUUGUUUGUUUGAUUUAUUUGCUAUCGGCCCAUAGUUACCUUGUCUCCUUACUGAUUUAGAGCGCUCUUAACAAAAGUAGUACAAAUACUACAUCAGGUUGUGUACUGUUUAUGACGAUCGGAGGGGGGGUUACUCACUAUUAAUUGUACAAGUGUGGUGUGUUGUGUGGGUUUUGUACUUUGGUAUCGGCUUUGUUUCUUUUUCUUUUCUUUUUUUUUUUUUGAAUUGUAUUGUGAAGUGGCUAACCCCUCGGUAGAAGUAACCUUUGUGCACGUAUGCUGGUUUAGGUCCUUAGUAUGAUUGAG